rnacentral:rRNA from 1 species
AUACGGAGGGUGCAAGCGUUAAACGGAAUUACUGGGCGUAAAGCGUACGUAGGCGGUUAUUUAAGUCAGAUGUGAAAGCCCCGGGCUUAACUUGGGAACUGCAUUUGAAACUGGGUAACUAGAGUUUAGUAGAGGGGAGUGGAAUUUCAGGUGUAGCGGUGAAAUGCGUAGAGAUCUGAAGGAACACCAGUGGCGAAGGCGACUCCCUGGACUAAAACUGACGCUGAGGUACGAAAGCGUGGGUAGCAAACAGGAGUAGAAACCCUAGUAGUCC